CAAUGAAAGAAGCCUGGUAAUGUGCAUAGAAAUUGAAUUGGGUCUUUAGGCUUGCCCUCUCUAAUGUCAUUUGGUUUUGAUUUGUGAGCAUGGUUCAACAGCAAAACA